rnacentral:rRNA from 1 species
AUGGUCUAAAAAAGCCUGCAUGGUCUCAGUAUAAGCUUCUAUACGGCGAAACUGCGAAUGGCUCAUUAAAACAGUUAUAGUUUAUUUGAUGAUCAUUCAUUACAUGGAUAACUGUGGUAAUUCUAGAGCUAAUACAUGCGCUCAAACCCGACUUUGCGGAAGGGUUGUGUUUAUUAAAUACAAAACCAACCCAGGCUCUGCCUGGUCUUGUGGUGAUUCAUAAUAACCGAACGAAUCGCAUGGCGUCAGCUGGCGAUGAAUCAUUCAAGUUUCUGACCUAUCAGCUUCCGACGGUAGGGUAUUGGCCUACCGUGGCAAUGACGGGUAACGGAGAAUUAUAGUUCGAUUCCGGGGGGAGUAUGAUCGCAAGGCUGAAACUUAAAGGAAUUGACAGAAGGGCACCACCAUGAGUGGAGCCUGCGGCAAAAUUUGACUCAACACGGGGAAACUUACCAUGUCCAGACAUAGUAAGGAUUGACAGAUUGAUAGCUCUUUCUUGA